CUCUACUAAAAAUACAAAAAUUAGCUGGGCGUAGUGGUGGGUGCCUGUAAUCCCAGCUACUCGGGAGGUUGAGGCAGGAGAAUCGCUUGAACCCAGGAGACGGAAGUUGCAGUGAGCCGAGAUGGUUGCAGUGAGCCGAGAUUACACCACUGCACUCCAGCAUGGGCAAAAAGAGCAAAACUCGGUCCCCAAAAAAUAAAAUAAAUAAAUAAAGUCUUGAUCUUUAAAAGCCUUGGAUGACUAAGGUUUAGAAUUGACUGAAAGAAGUGAGUUCUGAGUCAGGAACCUGUGUGUGACUUAUGCUGGAGGAAUAGUUAAAUCAUCAUUCUAGAUCAGGGCUGAUAGGCCAGUUCUCUAGGAUGGGAGCUUCCAGAUUGCAUGACUACAAAUGUAAGCAAUUUUGCCAGCUACUUCACUCAGUAAUAUUGUGCACAGCAUAAUGUGAGCUAUGAGUCUACUUUCUCUCUAGUUCAGUUGCCUCAUUCCUCUUACAGUGUGGGCACAUCACAAUGCUGAGAAGGAUUAAAACAAUAUUUUCCAUACAACAUAACUCUUAAACUUCGUCAGUAGUCAACGAAGAGACAGUAACAUGACUUGAAGACUGGAGAGAAAAACAACCAUGAAGGAAUUUGCCUUUGCAACUAUGGAAUACAUACUCACAUUUUGGAAUGAUCUUGCUGAUAGUUCAAGAAGAAUGUAAUCAAUAGACACAGUGUUGCUAAUCAACUCAUCUAGUUUUGUUGUUGUUGUUGUUAUAGGGGUGGUGGUAGGACAAUCAUAUUCCAUUUCUGUUGACAGAAAUCUGGUCCAGAAGUAAUUAUUGGCAGCAU
rnacentral:lncRNA from 1 species